rnacentral:lncRNA from 1 species
AGUAUUUUUAAGUUUAGUUUUAUGUUUUUGAGUCAGUUUAGAGGUUAUUAGCAAGCCCUCCUAGUCCCCGGUCCAGAACGAUCCCUACUUACAUUCUUUACUACAAUUGAUAAAAGAGGGUUAAAUUUGUGUGUUAAGAUAAUUUUCGCAUCAGCUCACAAGGGCCUUUUCUCUGCCUCUCUUUCACCCCGACUAUUCCCUACUACAACCCUCACCUAUCCCUCUGAAAGGAAAUAUUGACAUUUCUAUGGGAUUUCUAGUGACUAGCUUGCAUAUACAAUUCUAAAUUUAUAUACAUAAGCAACGGAAGCAUGUUAGCACAUAUUAUCAAAGCUAUAGUCAUGCAAAUCCCCUUCAAGAAGCAUAGGUUCAUAUAUGAUGCAUCGAACAAAAUAUUGAAGAACAAAGUGAAGGUUGAGUUUUAUACCUCUUGAUCUAGACUUUAGACCAAGGACGGACGACCUCCAAGUUCUUUGUUCUUUGAACUCCUUGAGUCUAGCCUCCCUCCUUGCUUCCUCCACCUUAAGGAUUUAGAGCUCCUUAGUUCUCCUUAAGCCUCCAAGUGUAGAAGACCUCUAAAGAAUGGACCCACUAGUGUAGUGAGAUGGAUGAAGGAAUAACCAAAAGGAGAAGACAUGACUAGAUAACUCUCCCUUUGGUGGCCGGUUUUGACUUUUGUGUGAGAAGAAAUGAGAGAGUUUGUGUUUCUCAUUGAGGCAAGAAAGACUCAGGAAACCCUAAUGAAACUUUUUCACUUAACUCCCUUUAUAAAGGUAAGAGAAGGGAGUCAACUAAUUGAUUCUCUCUCUCUUCUUUCUUCACCUUAUGGCCAGCCACUUAAGGUUGGCUUGGGCUUUUGGGAUUUUAUCAUUUCAAGCCAUCCUAUGCUUGAAUAAAAGGCCCAAUGGGUUUGGACCUAAUGGGCUCAAAAGAAUCCGAACUUUUCGUUAAGCCUGAAACGAUCUUUCAUCACUUCCAUGAUUUAUUUAGACUUUCUAAUUAAUCAUAACAUUUAAUUAAUCAAAUUAAUUAAUUAUAUCAUCCUUUAGUUAUCUCACCACACGAGUGUAUUGGUGUACAAUCAUUUUAGGUUCUAAUUAGUGAGGCAGUGAGGUAAUUGGUAUCAAUCCAAUUGGUUAGUACUUAUACAAUCGCUUAGUGAAUUAAACUUACUUUUAAAUUUCCUUCUUCUUUGAUGACUACUUAUUUAAUCAUCUAGAAGGACCCACAAGUCAUGAAUGACAUCUAACCAUAUAGCAUGGCUACACAAGCUAAUGUAGAAUUUGGUCAGAGAACCUAUUCAAUUGGAAUUACAAUGUAAUUUGAUCAUUCUCUAAAUCAAUAAUCUUAAUCAUAUUACUAAGGUAUGGAUACUUCAUGUCAAAUCCCUAAUGUGAUUAUACUAUGUUAAAUGAUUCAAUUGAGUUGUAUAGGAAUGCCUUCCAUCAUUAUGCUCGAUACUUUGGCCAAAGAUUCCCAAAUCAUAUCUUAGAGUAUUCUUCCUCUCGUACUGAGGAUUAGAGAUUCCUUGUUGAACAUUGACAUGUCUACAUGAUUAGGUAGCUUAACCCUAACAAUGUUGUCGACACUCUCGAACGGAAUGCCUUUGACACCGUCAAAGAUCAAGGACCUAACCACUGGACAACUAUGAUGUCUCGGGUCAAAGAAAUACUUACAUUAUUCCAACCAGUAGAGUUACUUGCUUGACAAGUAAAUAGAUCUCCAUGCAAGUACUCUCGUUUGAUUGUGUUCAAUGGACCCAUUCCCUUAACGAGUACCUACAUACUUGCCUUAUUGUCCCUACACAAAUGGCUUGAGACUUUACAUCUUGUGGUUAAUACAUGUAACUUCUUAGGAUGGACAACAUGUCAUAAGGGUUAUAUGGUUUUUCACAAAAUUUAAUGAGUCUUGCAUGUUCACAUUCGAUCUGGACACCACGUACGGGUUGCAUGUUAGAUAUACGUUCUAUGUUGGAGGUUCCAAGUAGGAUAUACUUUAGGAAAACCUAACCUUCAAAAUAUUCAUGUGUGAGUUAUAAGUAAUUGGAAGAACUAUGUAGGAUUGUUAAGGUGACGGCAGAACCCUAGUGCUUAAAUAGAUUUUCAAAACUAUUUUCUUUUGUUUUCUUUACUUUCCCAAUUUAUUUAAUUGUUUUUAGUUAAAUUCGUUUUUAAUAUUUUAGGUCAUAAAAUCAACCUUUUCCAAACUUUUUUUUCAAAUAAUUAAUUAAGAUUUGGUUUUAACAUAAAUUAUUCAUUCAAUCCCUAUGGAAAACGACCUUGCUUGAGCUACUACACUACGAUAACCUUGUACUCUUGCAAGUAUUUUUAAGUGUUUUUAUCCCUACUUUUGCAGGGGGUAAAAAUCCUUAUCAGACAUUAUGGUUGUUGAUGCACAAAAUCAGUGAGGACUUUGGUACAACUUAGAGUGUUAAGUUUGUGACCUUCGCUAGAUUGCUCCGGUCACUAGUAUGGAUAAGUAUGUAAAUGGAUAGAGAUCGGGAAGCAAACACAAGAUGUACGUGGUUCACCCAGAUUGGCUAUGUCCACGGAGUAGAGGAGUUCUCAUUAAUUGUGAAGGGUUUACACAAGUACAUAGGUUCAAGCUCUCCUUUAGUGAGUACAAGUGAAUGAUUUAGUACAAAUGACAUUAGGAAAUAUUGUGAAAGAAUGAUCUCUAUUUAUAGAAGAGAGUUUCUAGUUCCAUCCUGACAUUGACACGUGUCGUGUUGUGAUUGGCUUCUGAUGUUAACAAGUGUUGCGCUAUGAUUGGCUUCUGAUGUCGACACGUGUCGCGCUGUGAUUAGCCUCUUGGUUGGAGGGAAACUCUUCUGGGUCCUUGACGGUAUAACGUUGAUCGGUGCUCAGUAGUUUCGGGAUUAGUCAAGUAUGGUACAGACAGUGCUCCCCUAAGUUCCCGAGUGAGGGAAGCUCCUCGGUUGAGGACUUGUAAGAUCCAAGCCAUUGAGUAAUCACGAAACUUCUAAGUACCGAAGUGUGGUACCAUUUUCACUUGCCUUAUCUGUCUCAUAUGUAGUUGUGGCAUCUUC